rnacentral:rRNA from 1 species
AUACGGAGGGUCCAAGCGUUAUCCGGAUUCAUUGGGUUUAAAGGGUCCGCAGGCGGGAAAAUAAGUCAGUGGUGAAAGCCUACAGCUCAACUGUAGAACUGCCAUUGAUACUGUUUUUCUUGAGUAUAGAUGAAGUGGGCGGAAUAUAUUAUGUAGCGGUGAAAUGCAUAGAUAUGAUAUAGAACACCGAUUGCGAAGGCAGCUCACUAAACUAUUACUGACGCUCAGGGACGAAAGCGUGGGGAGCGAACAGGAUUAGAAACCCUAGUAGUCC